rnacentral:rRNA from 1 species
GCUUAACACAUGCAAGUCGAGCGCCCCGCAAGGGGAGCGGCAGACGGGUGAGUAACGCGUGGGAAUCUACCCUUUUCUACGGAAUAACGCAGGGAAACUUGUGCUAAUACCGUAUACGCCCUUCGGGGGAAAGAUUUAUCGGGAAAGGAUGAGCCCGCGUUGGAUUAGCUAGUUGGUGGGGUAAAGGCCUACCAAGGCGACGAUCCAUAGCUGGUCUGAGAGGAUGAUCAGCCACAUUGGGACUGAGACACGGCCCAAACUCCUACGGGAGGCAGCAGUGGGGAAUAUUGGACAAUGGGCGCAAGCCUGAUCCAGCCAUGCCGCGUGAGUGAUGAAGGCCCUAGGGUUGUAAAGCUCUUUCACCGGUGAAGAUAAUGACGGUAACCGGAGAAGAAGCCCCGGCUAACUUCGUGCCAGCAGCCGCGGUAAUACGAAGGGGGCUAGCGUUGUUCGGAAUUACUGGGCGUAAAGCGCACGUAGGCGGACAUUUAAGUCAGGGGUGAAAUCCCGGGGCUCAACCCCGGAACUGCCUUUGAUACUGGGUGUCUAGAGUAUGGAAGAGGUGAGUGGAAUUCCGAGUGUAGAGGUGAAAUUCGUAGAUAUUCGGAGGAACACCAGUGGCGAAGGCGGCUCACUGGUCCAUUACUGACGCUGAGGUGCGAAAGCGUGGGGAGCAAACAGGAUUAGAUACCCUGGUAGUCCACGCCGUACACGAUGAAUGUUAGCCGUCGGGCAGUUUACUGUUCGGUGGCGCACCUAACGCAUUAAACAUUCCGCCUGGGGAGUACGGUCGCAAGAUUAAAACUCAAGGAAUUGACGGGGGCCCGCACAAGCGGUGAAGCAUGUGGUUUUAAUUCGAAGCACCGCGCAGAACCUUACCAGCCCUUGACAUCCCGAUCGCGGAUUACGGAGACGUUUUCCUU